CUUGCCCUUCCUCUAGCCCGACCAACCCAUAUGCAUAAUCAUAAAAAAUCCAUCACCACACUCAAACCAAAACAUUCUAACUCAUGUCCCAGUAUAGGCGAUAGAAAAGAACCCCGGCGCAAUAGAGACCAACCGUACCGUAAGGGAAAGAUGAAAUAUCCAUGAAAUAUACAAGCAAAAAAUAGUAAAGACCAACCCUUGUACCUUUUGCAUCAUGAUUUAGCCAGAACAACCAAGCAAAGCGGACUAAAGUUUGCCUCCCCNNNNNNNNNNNNNNNNNCUCGUAAGCAGCUAAAAACUGAGCAAACCCGUCUCUGUCGCAAAAGAGUGGGAUGACUUACUAGUAGAGGUGAAAAGCUAAUCGAGCUGGGUGAUAGCUGGUUACCUGCUAAAUGAAUCUAAGUUCUACCUUAACCUCCCUAAAAGGACAUCCAACCGAACCAACACGUUGAGAUUAAGAGCAACUCGAUGGAGGUACAGCUCCCUCGAAAAAGAAUACAACCUCCCCUAGCGGAUAAUACUUUUUUUAACAUGCCGUGGGCCUUAAAGCAGCCACCGACAAAGAGNNNNNNNNAGCUCACCCACUAAAAAAAUUAAAAAUCCCAUUUGACUCCCUUACCAAAAGCAGGUCAACCUAUGACAAUAGAAGNNNNNNNNNNNNNNNNNNNAACUUGGGGCCCCCCUCCACACAGCGCAAACUUACAUUWAYACAUUAUUAACAGAAUUAACUUAUACCAUUAUUCCAACAAGAACACGUAUUAAACCCACAACCUGUUAGACCGACCCAGGAGCGCCCAUAGACGAUUAAAAUCUGCAGAAGGAACUCGGCAAAUCAAAGACCCGACUGUUUCCCAAAAACAUAGCCUUCAGCUAAACCAACAAGUAUUGAAGGUGAUGCCUGCCCAGUGACCUAUGAGUUUAACGGCCGCGGUAUCCUAACCGUGCGAAGGUAGCGCAAUCAAUUGUCCCAUAAAUUGAGACUUGUAUGAAUGGCUAAACGAGGUCUUAACUGUCUCCUGCAGACNNNNNNNNNNNNNNNNNNNCCCGUGAAAAAACGAGAAUGUGAACAUAAGACGAGAAGACCCUGUGGAACUUUAAAAUUACGACCACCCUUACACCAACACCACCCACCCGGGCCCACCUUAAAAACAACUGGUCGACAUUUUUCGGUUGGGGCGACCCUGGAGAAAAACAAAUCCUCCAUAGACCAAAGACCACAACUCUUUACCAAGAUUAACCCUUCAAAGUACCAACAGUAAUCAGACCCAAUACAAUUGAUCAAUGGACCAAGCUACCCCAGGGAUAACAGCGCAAUCUCCUCCAAGAGCCCAUAUCGACGAGGAGGUUUACGACCUCGAUGUUGGAUCAGGACAACCUAAUGGUGUAGCCGCUAUCAAGGGUUCGUUUGUUCAACGAUUAACAGUCCUACGUGAUCUGAGUUCAGACCGGAGUAAUCCAGGUCGGUUUCUAUCUAUGUAUGCACUCCUCCUAGUACGAAAGGACCGGAGAAGUGGGGUCAAUACAACCUAGCACACCCCAACCCCAUAAGCAAUGAACCCAACUCAAUUGCCAAAGGAACUUAUUCACACUACCCCUAGAAAAGGGAUAUA
rnacentral:rRNA from 1 species